rnacentral:rRNA from 1 species
GUGUCAGCCGCCGCGGUAAGACGAAGGUGGCUAGCGUUGCUCGGAUUUACUGGGCAUAAAGCGCGCGUAGGUGGUCGUGUAAGCGGGGGAUGAAAGCCCAUGGCUCACCCAUGGAACUGUCCCCCGGACUGCACGGCUCGAGGAAGGAAGGGGAGAAUGGAAUUCCCGGUGUAGCGGUGAAAUGCGUAGAUAUCGGGAGGAACGCCGGUGGCGAAAGCGAUUCUCUGGUCCUUUCCUGACACUGAGGCGCGAAAGCUAGGGGAGCAAACAGGAUUAGAAACCCCCGUAGUCC